UUAUCAUUCUGAAGCAUGGUGAUGGCGGUGGAUGAAUGGCACGACAAUGGGCCUCAGGAUCUCGUCACGGAAAGCACUUCUGUUUCUGUUUGGUCAUCCUGGUGUUGAGCACGUUGCAGUCUAUGGUGCUCACACGCCUGGCUAAGUGUGGCACUCUCUGGCCCUGCAGCCUCUCCAAGUCCAAAGACUCACUGCUUAAAGACACAGACAAUGAAGACGACUCCAAGUUUGAUAUUAAAGCCUCAGAGGAAGAGAAGAAUACAGCCCUCCAGAAGGUGGUGAAGUUUCUCAACAAAAUGGCUGCACAAGACCAGAAAAAUGCUAUACACCAUCGCUUUGCCAACAAAGUGGACUUGAUCUGUUUCUGUAUCUAUCUCACCAUCCUCAUUGUUUACUCAUUCAUCAUUUUAUUUUUCUCCUUUGGUUCUCGAUGUGAGAUCGACCAUUUACAAUUCUGG
ensembl:lncRNA